rnacentral:rRNA from 1 species
AUACGUAGGGGGCGAGCGUUGUCCGGAAUGACCGGGCGUAAAGGGCGUGUAGGCGGUUGUCUAAGUCUGGAGGGAAAGUCCUGCUUUCAAGGUGGGAAUAGCUUUGGAUACUGGAUGACUUGAGUGCGGAAGAGGUAAGUGGAAUUCCUGGUGUAGCGGUGAAAUGCGCAGAUAUCAGGAGGAACACCGGUGGCGAAGGCGGGUCUCUGGGCAGUAACUGACGCUGAGGAGCGAAAGCAUGGGUAGCGAACAGGAUUAGAUACCCUGGUAGUCCAUGCCGUAAACGGUGGGCGCUAGGUGUAGGGGUCUUCCACGACUUCUGUGCCGUAGCUAACGCACUAAGCGCCCCGCCUGGGGAGUACGGCCGCAAGGCUAAAACUCAAAGGAAUUGACGGGG